rnacentral:misc_RNA from 1 species
CCGAGUUUACAACUCCCAAACCCCUGUGAACAUACCUUAAUGUUGCCUCGGCGGAUCAGCCCGCGCCCGGUAAAACGGGACGGCCCGCCAGAGGAUCCAAACUCUUUCUGUAGUCCCCUCGCGGACGUUAUUUCUUACAGCUCUGAGCAAAAAUUCAAAAUGAAUCA